rnacentral:rRNA from 1 species
UACGGAAGGCAGCAGUGGGGAAUAUUGCACAAUGGGCGCAAGCCUGAUGCAGCCAUGCCGCGUGUAUGAAGAAGGCCUUCGGGUUGUAAAGUACUUUCAGUCGUGAGGAAGGUGUUAAGGUUAAUAACCUUAGCAAUUGACGUUAGCGACAGAAGAAGCACCGGCUAACUCCGUGCCAGCAGCCGCGGUAAUACGGAGGGUGCGAGCGUUAAUCGGAAUUACUGGGCGUAAAGGGCACGCAGGCGGUUAAUUAAGUUGGAUGUGAAAUCUCCGGGCUUAACCUGGGAAUGGCAUUCAAGACUGGUUAGCUAGAGUCUUGUAGAGGGGGUAGAAUUCCAUGUGUAGCGGUGAAAUGCGUAGAGAUGUGGAGGAAUACCGGUGGCGAAGGCGGCCCCUGGGACAAAGACUGACGCUCAUGUGCGAAAGCGUGGGGAGCGAAACAGGGAUUUAGAU